rnacentral:lncRNA from 1 species
UUAAUAUAUAAAAUCAUUACUAAUAAUCAUUGCUUAAUAAAUAUAGAUAUUAACUUAUUUCUAAAUAUCAAACCCCCAUAUGUAUUAUAUAGACUUAUUAAUAAUAUUUGUUUCGUAAUAUAAUAAUAAUGCAAGAAUAUAGAUUUUGGGGGAUGGUGAAGUUUUAAUAUAAAGACAUAUCCUUGGCUGAAAUUAACAGCUAGGCCCGUGGUGCUCGGGUGGUCAUAUGACGUGUGUUUGGAGUUUGAGGUUGCGAGUUCGAGUCUGUUUAGCAGCAAGUUGCUUGAAUAAAAUAAUUUUUUUUUAACAGCCGGCUAGUACACUUUUUUUUAUUUACAGCCGUAAGAGCUUGUCCCGGCUGGUACAUUUUUUUUUUAACAGCCGUAAGAGCUUGUCCCGGUUAGUAAAAUAAUUUUUUUUUAACAGCCGGCUAGUACACUUUUUUUUUUUUAGCCGUAAGAGCUUGUCCCGGCUGGUACAUUUUUUUUUUAACAGCCGUAAGAGCUUGUCCCGGUUAGUAAAAUAAUUUUUUUUUAACAGCCGGCUAGUACACUUUUUUUUUUUUACAGCCGUAAGAGCUUGUCCCGGCUGGUACAUUUUUUUUUUAAAAGCCGUAAGAGCUUGUCCCGGUUAGUAAAAUAAUUUUUUUUUAACAGCCGGCUAGUACACUUUUUUUUUUUUACAGCCGUAAGAGCUUGUCCCGGCUGGUACAUUUUUUUUUUAACAGCCGUAAGAGCUUGUCCCGGUUAGUAAAAUAAUUUUUUUUUAACAGCCGGCUAGUACACUUUUUUUUUUUUACAGCCGUAAGAGCUUGUCCCGGCUGGUACAUUUUUUUUUUUAACAGCCGUAAGAGCUUGUCCCGGUUGGUAUAUUUUUAUUUUUUUUUACAGCCGGAAGAGCUUGUAUUUUUAUAAUUUUUUAUUUGCUAUUUUUAUAAAAAAUAAAGAAUAUAAAAUAUUUUAUAACAAAUAAAGAAUAUAAAAUAUUUGCUAUUUUUAUUUGCUAUUUGUUAUUAAAAUAUUUUAUAACAAAUAAAGAAUAU